rnacentral:rRNA from 1 species
ACUACGGGGGGCUGCAGUGGGGGAUAUUGCACAAUGGGGGAAACCCUGAUGCAGCGACGCCGCGUGUGGGAAGACGGUCCUCUGGAUUGUAAACCACUGUCCCCAGGGACGAAGAUGACGGUACCUGGGGAGGAAGCUCCGGCUAACUACGUGCCAGCAGCCGCGGUAAUACGUAGGGAGCGAGCGUUGUCCGGAAUUACUGGGUGUAAAGGGAGCGUAGGCGGGACUGCAAGUUGGGUGUCAAAUCUACCGGCUCAACCGGUAGCCGCACUCAAAACUGCAGUUCUUGAGUGAAGUAGAGGCAGGCGGAAUUCCUAGUGUAGCGGUGAAAUGCGUAGAUAUUAGGAGGAACACCAGUGGCGAAGGCGGCCUGCUGGGCUUUUACUGACGCUGAGGCUCGAAAGUGUGGGGAGCAAACAGGAUUAGAUACCCGGGUAGUC